CUUUCAGAUUUUAUUUCAUGAUCUCAUCAGUCGUUGAGAUAGCCUUAUAGUGAGCGUGACGUCAUGGCUUAGUAUAACAGACGUUGGCCAGGUAGGAGAGAGGCAGGACGCCCGGUCACAAAUUAGCAAGAACAUCUCUACAUCUGAACUUUGAUAUGUUCAAUAUGGGGUGUGUGGAAGGCAGUCGUGCAGACUAAGCAGCGACGCACGUGACACACGUGAACUGUAAACAAGUACAAGUGGCGACUGGAAUUCUACUUUUGCCACAGCUAUUAUUGGUACAACCAUGCGAUACAAUAUAAGUGCUGGGACAACGUCCAACUAUCAGUGGUGAUGAUGGAUGCAAUGGCUCCUCUGCUGUUCGUCGUGGCCUUAUGAUAAAUCUCCUUUCCACUGAUCCAUUUAUGGUGAAAGAGACGAUGGUAUUCUGUGCGCGUAGUGACACAUUUAACUACUGUUAGUUUGUAAACUGUACUUGUGUAUUAUGCACACAUUUAUUUACACCAGCGGAACUGUGUCACUCUAAUAUUAUAUGGAUGAAUAGUUAAGCUAGUUUGAUAGUGUUGAAUUUUCAAUUCUAUCUCGUUGGUAUGAUAUUGAUAUUGUGGAUUAGUACGUCUUUAUUAUCAUCUGUGUUAGAUAGAUUUACAGUAGGCGAGGUAGGUUAUAUCUAAUGAUGGAGCUCCAUAACAACCAUUUCAACCUAUAUGGAAUUCUGUACAGUAUUUUCUAGUAAUUGUUAUUUUAUUAAAUUUAUUAUAGUCUUGUGCUGUGAAAUUCUACAAACUGAUUACUUGGCUGACUCGGUCUAUCGUGACAAAUGUCUUUAUUAGUAUAGAGGUGAAUCUUUCUCAGAUUUCACUAGUGAAGUCCUUAUGGUCCAUAUCUGAAUCCGUUUGAUGUUGACACUAAUAAGAAAAAUCAAAUGGCUGACAGGCGUUCAACACGGUC